rnacentral:tRNA from 1 species
GCCUGGGUGGCUCAGUUGGUUAAGCGACUGCCUUCGGCGCAGGUCAUGAACCUGGAGUCCCAGGAUCGCAUCCUGCCUCGGGCU